rnacentral:rRNA from 1 species
CCUACGGUGGGCAGCAGUGAGGAAUAUUGGUCAAUGGACAAGAGUCUGAACCAGCCAAGUAGCGUGCAGGAUGACUGCCCUAUGGGUUGUAAACUUCUUUUAUAUGGGAAUAAAAUGUUCCACGUGUGGGAUUUUGUAUGUACCAUAUGAAUAAGGAUCGGCUAACUCCGUGCCAGCAGCCGCGGUAAUACGGAGGAUCCGAGCGUUAUCCGGAUUUAUUGGGUUUAAAGGAAGCGUAGGUGGAUUGUUAAGUCAGUUGUGAAAGUUUGCGGCUCAACCGUAAAAUUGCAGUUGAAACUGGCAGUCUAGAGUACAGUAGAGGUGGGCGGAAUGCGUGGUGUAGCGGUGAAAUGCUUAGAGAUCACGAAGAACUCCGAUUGCGAAGGCAGCUCACUGAACUGCAACUGACGCUGAGGCACGAAAGUGUGGGUAUCAAACAGGAUUAGAUACCCUUGUAGUC